rnacentral:misc_RNA from 1 species
GAUGAAGAACGUAGCGAAAUGCGAUAAGUAAUGUGAAUUGCAGAUUUCAGUGAAUCAUCGAAUCUUUGAACGCACCUUGCGCCUUGUGGUAUUCCACAAGGCAUGCCCGUUUGAGUAUCAUUAAAUCAUCAACUCUAAAACCUUUGUGGUUUUUUUAGAGCUUGGUCUUGAGGGUUUUGCAGGCUUUUUUUUUUUCGAGUCUGCUCCCUUUAAAUGCAUUAGCGAGACUUCCCUAUGCUGAACCGUCUCUUUGACGUGAUAAUUAUCUGCGUCGAAUUUUGGUUCUCGUUGGGCUUGCUUCUAAUCGUCUGUUAAAGACAAAACGGAUUUGGGUGCAUAUAUGCGCCUUUUUCCAAAACCUUUUUUGAUCUCAAAUCGGGUAGGACUACCCGCUGAACUUAAGCAUAUCAAUAAGCGGAGGA